rnacentral:rRNA from 1 species
UACGAAGGGGGCUAGCGUUGUUCGGAAUCACUGGGCUUAAAGGGCGCGUAGGCGGGCUGUCAAGUCUGGGGUGAAAUCCCGCGGCUUAACCGUGGAACUGCCUCAGAUACUGAUGGCCUCGAGGGAGAUAGGGGCGAGCGGAACUAAUGGUGGAGCGGUGAAAUGCGUUGAUAUCAUUAGGAACUCCGGUGGCGAAGGCGGCUCGCUGGGUCUCUUCUGGACGCUGGAUGCGCGAAAAGCUAGGGGGAGCAAAACGGGG